rnacentral:lncRNA from 1 species
CAGUAAUUGGCUCUAGGCUCUCAUUGCUGUCCUGUCACUUUUGACCAAAUGUUGUAGUGCUUGUUUGCAAGUAAAUCAAAUAAAUCCUAGCUGGGGAAAUAUGGAAGAUAUUCCAUAACGAAGAUUGGAUAAUUCACAUAUCAUCAGAACCAAAUCUCCAGAUUGCUCCCAGGAUCACAGAGGUCCCUGAUGCAGGAUACUGCCACCAAAGCCAUCACCUCUGCCUUUCUGGAAACAAUGUAGGGACUGCUACCUGUCACUGGCAUGGACUGCAAACAGCCACAAGCUGCACUUAGGCAGGAGUGCAGUAGCAGCUGGAAGCAGUGGCCCUUAGCUGUGCAUCUGCCUUCUACAGUUGGGGUAGACUCAAUCUCACAGUGUAUAGAGAAUGAAUAGGGUUAAGAUCAACCAUCUGAACAAAUGUUAUUCCAGCCAGGAGUCUAGUUUUUGUUCCUUUGUCCAGAAAAGAUGAGCCUGUGGCCUCUCUUUCCCAGGUGUCUGAUCUGGACAGCUCGGCCAUCAAAGUCACAUAGCAGUAGUGAAGGGAACACCUGGGCCUAUCACCCCUGGCUGGAGGCAGGACACUUGGAUGUUUGUUCUCGUUGGAAGUGCAGCUGCUGAGCUGCAGUUGUCAGGUCACCACUGGUGUCCAGGGACAGCCCCACCCUGCCCCACAACACAGUCUUGAGCUUCAAGGAGCUGUCACAAAUCAGUCCAUCAAAGUCUGGGGGAGCUGCUGAUGGGCCAUACAUUCUUCGUGACCACAAACCCAGCCCCAUUAGGCUUUCUGGACCAUGAGUGACAGCCCAUCUGGAACAAGAUGCAAAUGAUUGUCACAUCGUUCCUUCUAAGCCCCUAGCCAGCUGGGGGAUUUAAAAAUAAAGAAUUGGAACCGAA